rnacentral:tRNA from 1 species
GGGAAGGUGGCUCAGUGGUAGAGUGCUUGCCUUGCAUGCAUGAGGCCCUGGGUUCAAUUCCCCCACACCA